UGGAAGGAGAAUCUCCAAAUCCCGUCGUCUGUGCACGUCUCCAUCUGCGCGUGUCCCUCCGCCUCGCCGGUGGCCGCGAAAUCCUCUUCCAUGGCAUCCUCCUCGCAUCCUCCUCCACCUCGUCCGUCGCGGCCGAUUCCCACCGCCACCAAGCCGUGCACGCCCCCGUCCCCCUGUCCCCCGCCCGCCUCUUCUCCAUCCCCGUCCCCCGCGUCUACCGUGCUCCCCGCCCCUCCUAACGCCGUCCUCUCCAUCUAAAGCGACAGCCGAUGCACGGCUUCGGGCUUAGGCCGCGCCACGCCCGUGGGGAGGCGGAUGCGGGCCACAGAUCUCCUUCCAAACUAGCGAAGUCUGAGGCGAUAGCCCGACAAGGGGCGACCUUCCAUGGUAGGCGGCCCCCUUCCAUGGUAGGCGAGAUCUGCAACCAUGGUAGGCGGCCCCUUCCAUAUUUGACGGCCAUGGCAUGCACUGCGCCCCCUUCCCCGCCCCCAUUACAAAAUCAGCCCUCAACCAUGCAUGCAGCCACCUCAAUCGACUGCUAUUGUCUGCUUCAGCAGCGCUAUUGUUCUGGUUGGCUGAAACUUGGGGAGGUGCGCAGAGGUGGUGGUGAGUUCACUGUUCAUUUUUCUGUAGGUCAAAGGGCCACUGGGGCUGGAUUUCACCGUCGCAACACUGAACUACUGGGUGCACAAGGGCAUUUCCUUCAUCUGCGAGAUCAGGUGUUGUUUUCAAGUGCUUCUUCAUAAGGAGGCUAGUGAGUACAAGAAGGUCAUCACUGACUGCUCGAAGUUCUUCUAGUAGUUGAACUUUGCUAAUUGAAGCUGCAAAAGGAACUUCAAUAGAUCAGCAUUACGAGGCACAACAACAAGAAUUCCACUGGAUCGAGCUGUUGAACGGGGUACCAGAAGGUGGAUUUGGUAGUAGCACUGAACAAUCGGAUGCGGCAUCAUUGUGCUUAUUACACCAUGGACAACAGGUGGGCAGGAACGCCUUCUAUGUGGAUCCUCUUCUCACGUGCUCCUCGACGCACGAGCGCGAACUCGGAAUCUGGGAUUGGAUCCUCUCCUCCUGCUCCACGCAGAGUUGACAAAAGACCCCAAACUUUGCUGCACUAAUUCUGUGUCACCCCUGCUGGGCUUAGGUACCGUGUCCAUGGCCAACUACGAGAAAGACACGAACGGAUGGCAGUUCACCAUCACCACCGUGGAAGGAAGCAGAGAUGCUAGCAGCAAUAUCCUGCUCUAAGACCAAGCUUUGCAGAGAUCAUGGAUACACCGAACUUUAUAAAGGAGGAUGUCACUGCAGCACCGAUGGAAUUAUACGGUGUCAUCAGGCUCGACUAGAUCUAGAUGGCAUGGACUCUACUUGUGUUGAAUGAGAGGGAACACGUGCUUUGGCUUGUGGGAGGGCAUAUUUGUGUUCAUCUUGGCUUGUGGGGGGCAUAUUUCUAUUCAUCUUUUCUUAUGGGUCAUGUUACCUAUCAUAUCAGAUUACCCAACUUUAGAUAUUUCUAUCAUUGCGAAAAAAGUACCAAAAUAGUUUCACUGCA